rnacentral:tRNA from 1 species
GAGGGUAUAGCUCAACUGGUAGAGCAUAUGCUUAGCAUGCAUGAGGUCCUGGGUUCAAUCCCCAGUACCUCCU